UAUAAAUGUAAAUAAAUAUUACUAAAAGAUUAAUAGUUAAGUUCUUUAAAUUUAAAAAAUUUGGCGGUAUUUUAGUCUAUUUAGAGGAACCUGUUCUGUAAUUGAUAAUCCACGAUUAGAAAUACUUGAAUUAAUAAAUUUGUAUAUCGUUGUUUAAAGAAUUUUAUAAGAAUUAUAAUUUUUGAUAAAUUUAAUAAAAUUGUUAAUCAAAUCAAGGUGCAGUUAAUAUUUAAGGAUGAAAUGGGUUACAAUAAAUUUUAUUUAUAUGAAUUAAUUUAUAUUUUAAAUAUUUAUGAAGGUGGAUUUAAUAGUAAUUAUAAUUAUUUUAUUAUAAUGAUUAAAGCUCUGAAAUAUGU
rnacentral:rRNA from 1 species